rnacentral:rRNA from 2 species
ACGCCGCGUGUAGUGAAGAAGGGUUUCGGCUCGUAAAACUCUGUUGUUAAAGAAGAACAUAUCUGAGAGUAACUGUUCAGGUAUUGACGGUAUUUAACCAGAAAGCCACGGCUAACUACGUGCCAGCAGCCGCGGUUAUACGUAGGUGGCAAGCGUUGUCCGGAUUUAUUGGGCGUAAAGCGAGCGCAGGCGGUUUUUUAAGUCUGAUGUGAAAGCCUUCGGCUCAACCGAAGAAGUGCAUCGGAAACUGGGAAACUUGAGUGCAGAAGAGGACAGUGGAACUCCAUGUGUAGCGGUGAAAUGCGUAGAUAUAUGGAAGAACACCAGUGGCGAAGGCGGCUGUCUGGUCUGUAACUGACGCUGAGUCUCGAAAGUAUGGGUAGCAAACAGGAUUAGAUACCCUGGUAGUCGAUACCGUAAACGAUGAAUGCUAAGUGUUGGAGGGUUCCGCCCUUCAGUGCUGCAGCUAACGCAUUAAGCAUUCCGCCUGGGGAGUACGGCCGCAAGGCUGAAACUCAAAGGAAUUGACGGGGGCCCGCACAAGCGGUGGAC